UACAUACCUGACCAUAGGUACUGUUCGUUGGUUAUUUUAACGCGACCAUGGUGACCGCCUCCACCACUUACUUCCUAUGUACGAUCCAUCUUCUCUCUUCUAAUCUCACUCUACCCGUUACCAUCUCUAAACACCCACCUUUGUCAAUCUCUUGCUUACUCUUUUAUUCUCCUAGCAAAUCAAUGAUGGAUGAAGGAACCCCUUACUUUCUACGGCUUUCUCGAUGCUUCUAUCUUCAAAUGUCUCCACCGGCUCAUUCACAGUCACUACCGUCUCGCUCCUUCGACUUCCAACUGCGAUGCCCCUCGAGACAACUUCUUAAAAAACAACGACUUUUAGAGAUGAAACCCGUCGUCUGCCUCUAUGAGUUGAAGGAACCUGGGAUGGAAGCAAGGUUUUAGUUUGGAUUUAAAAUCAAGUUACAAUUCAAUUUUGGAAUUCAAUCUUCUUCUGCUCUAUCCCCAAUACAGAAAAAAAAAAGAAGAAGGCAGAUGCCGAUGGUGAUAGUGACGGUGCCGACCACUGGAAAGUGCAGCAGGGGCGUCCAUCCGGUGGCUAUUAGAGGUAUCCGGGGACUGAGUUGUUAAACGAAGUUGAUAUAAUCGAUUCCUCUUUACAAGAUGCAUCUCCAACGUUACCUGGGUGCAUCAAAGUCAUGGAGAAACAAAGAAAAUGCUGAAACCGGGUGUACAACCGUUACAGAGCCAAGAUGACUAUGAAAGUGAAAAACAUACAAUACUUAAGAUUAGUAAUGAAGCAUUGGUUACAAGCGGGUUUGGUGCGGCAACAGUCACAUCAGCUAUUUAACAUUGCUUAUUCAGAAGAACUUGAUAAAUGAUGAAACUAACGAUUAAGUGGAAGAGAGUUGAGCUUCAACAUGCUGAAGGGUCUAAUACCUAAUUAAAUUUUGUGUUGAAUGAUAGUGGCAGCUGAGUGAAGUAUAUUUGAAGGAGAUAGAGAAAAAGAUAAAUGAGUUGGCUUCAGAUGUUAUGGUGUUUGUAGAUGAAAGGCCUGCUGCUUCAAGAACCCAACUGUUGGAGAAUAUGUUUGUUGAUCCAACAGGUGUUGUAAUUGCACAUGAUGACAAUUACAUUUACAUGUGUGAGGACCCCAAGUUUACACAAAGAAACUGUUGUAAUUCAUUUCAAAUUAUUACUAUUUAAACAAGGGCAACUGUAAUAAAGGGUUAACUGCUUACUAAACAAAAAAAAAGCAGCCCCUCUGUUCCACGCGGAGCGUGGGCAUACCUGCUAGUUUUAUUAUUAUUAUUUUUUUGACAUAUGAUCAUUUUAUACAUUUAA